AUGCUCACUUUGGUGGCACCUAUACUAAAAACUGGAACAACACAGAGAAGAUUCGCAUGGCUUGUGCACAAGGAUGACAUGCAAAUUUGUGAAAUGUUCCACAUUUUU
ensembl:snRNA U6 U6 spliceosomal RNA